UUCUGAGAAUGAAGGGGGUGGGGAUGGAAUGAGAUCCUUAAAAUUGAUGGAAAGCUGGCUGUUCAGCGUCUUGGAAUUAGCCAGGACUCUCCCCCUUGCUGGUUCCUGGAGGUCUGCCUACAGGCUUCGGUGACACUUUUUUUUUUUUUUUUUUUAAUCCUCUUGUCAUUUCAGUUGACCUGGAAAAGAAUGCAGACUGUUCGGUGCUCAGGUUGUAGAAUUUACACACGGGGAGAACUGACCUGAUGGUGGUUGAUGUGGCUGUUCACCAGCCGACCACACAGUUUCGUGUACAGAUGAUGGACAUGUCCAGGUCACUAGCUGACACACAGCGGGGGCUCAGAGCAUGUCCUUUUUCUUCCUUUCAUUUCCUGCAGAGCAAACCUCAUGCUGGGUCUGGGAGGUUCCAUAUUGCUACUGCCUGCUCCGGAGGAUGCAAAGAAUGCAAGUGAGACAGAUUGAAGAGGGUCCCUUCUAGGAGGCUGUUGCUCAUCAAACAUUCUCUCAGAUGUUCAGCAACCAGAUGGUGUUUCUCUGCCAUUUCAUCUUCAUGGGUAGUGAAAGAUGGCUGGUGACCCUGCUCAGGCCUUCUUGACUCAAUCACAAAGGGUGCUCUGGUAGCCAGGAAGGAAAUGUGUUUAUCUUGAAAGAACCUGGAAGAACCGGUCGUGAAUGGAGUUGAGCUGGUGAAAAGACCCCAUUUUUCAAACCCAGCUUUCUACAUGGAAUUAUUCAAAGGGAAACCUUAUCAAGCAGCCUUCCAGCAAGGUGUCAUCCAUCUUCCAAAGGUCUCAGCUGAAAUGUCUCUUUCUCCAGGAAGCUUCUUCUGAACCUCCUCCCUUCCUCCCCCAAGACUGGCCAAGUUCACCAGAUACUCCAGUCUCCAUCUUCUUUUCUCUGAUACCUACCAUGGAAGCAGUUGCAGGUUAAAAUAGUUUCCUGGUAUUUUAGGACCAAGGACAGCUUCAGGUCCUCAAAUAUACCUUUGCUGGGAUGGAAGGAGAACAAAUGGGUCCCAGAGGUUGAAGUCCAACAAACAGAUGUGGAUUCCACUCAAACAUCACUUCCUGUUGUCCUGUGUCCAGUAAUGAAGUGGGAUGUUUUAAGGGCUGAUUGCGCGGGGGGGGUGGGGGGGGUGGAGACCUGGACCCCAGCCUUCAGACACCAUGGAUCUCGACCACAUCAAAACUUUCUUGAGCCUGUGACCUCAACCUCCUUGUGCUCAUUUUGCUUUCUCCACUCAGGGGGACUUGAGUGGCUCUCCAUGAACAUCACGGAGUAGAAUUUUUUUUUUUUUCUGUCUACUCCAAGAACAAACACAAGUUGAAACAUUUAGGCGGUAUGUUAGGGAAAGCAUCUGGGGCUUCCCUCAAGUUCUCCGGUAUUUGACUCCUUAAUAACACUAUUUGUUGAGCACUUGCUAAGCACAUGACAACUGUCACUAUAAACCUGGCAUACAAUUCACAAAUCCCCGAAGCAUCUCUGUUCUGUUGGAAUGGUUACCUCCCAAAGAUGAAAACUCUCUGACUGUCCCUGAUCACCUUAGAAUCCAGAGCUAAUGUCCAGGUUCUAGAGGAGCAAGUAUAACCAGCUCUGUGGAGGGGAUUCUUCUAGAGCCAGUACCCACUCACGCCAGAUAACAGAGCUGAGUAUCUUCUUGCACCGUUCAUCAUAACCCGCGUGUUUGUGAUAAAGAGACAGAGGAAGUGGAUGUGACAUUUAUGUUUCCCUUAGUCCUGCAACCAUGAGACACUCAGCAAGUCCCAACA